GUCGAGGGGCAUCGGGGAGCGAAGCUUGCUUUGCUCCGCCGGCGACCGGCGCACGGGUGAGUAACGCGUAUGCAACCUGCCCGUUUCAGCGGGAUAACCCGGAGAAAUCCGGCCUAAUACCGCAUGUGGCCGAGGGGAGGCAUCUUCUUUCGGCCAAAGGAGGCGACUCCGGAGACGGAUGGGCAUGCGUGACAUUAGCUUGUUGGCGGGGUAACGGCCCACCAAGGCGACGAUGUCUAGGGGUUCUGAGAGGAAGGUCCCCCACACUGGUACUGAGACACGGACCAGACUCCUACGGGAGGCAGCAGUGAGGAAUAUUGGUCAAUGGACGCAAGUCUGAACCAGCCAUGCCGCGUGCAGGAUGACGGCUCUAUGAGUUGUAAACUGCUUUUGUACGAGGGUAAACCCCGAUACGUGUAUCGGGUUGAAAGUAUCGUACGAAUAAGGAUCGGCUAACUCCGUGCCAGCAGCCGCGGUAAUACGGAGGAUCCGAGCGUUAUCCGGAUUUAUUGGGUUUAAAGGGUGCGUAGGCGGAAUAUCAAGUCAGCGGUAAAAAUUCGGGGCUCAACCCCGUCGUGCCGUUGAAACUGAUGUUCUUGAGUGGGCGAGAAGUAUGCGGAAUGCGUGGUGUAGCGGUGAAAUGCAUAGAUAUCACGCAGAACUCCGAUUGCGAAGGCAGCAUACCGGCGCCCAACUGACGCUGAAGCACGAAAGCGUGGGUAUCGAACAGGAUUAGAUACCCUGGUAGUCCACGCAGUAAACGAUGAAUGCUAAUUGUCCGGAGGGAUUGACCUCUGGGUGAUACAGCGAAAGCGUUAAGC
rnacentral:rRNA from 1 species